AUUGAACGCUGGCGGCAGGCCUAACACAUGCAAGUCGAACGGUAACAGGAAACAGCUUGCUGUUUCGCUGACGAGUGGCGGACGGGUGAGUAAUGUCUGGGAAACUGCCUGAUGGAGGGGGAUAACUACUGGAAACGGAGGCAAAACCCCAAAAAGGUGGAAGACCAAAGAGGGGGGACUUUCGGGCCCUUGGCCAUGGGAGGGGCCAAGAUGGGAUUAGCUAGUAGGGGGGGUAACGGCUCACCUAGGCGACGAUCCCUAGCUGGUCUGAGAGGAUGACCAGCCACACUGGAACUGAGACACGGUCCAGACUCCUACGGGAGGCAGCAGUGGGGAAUAUUGCACAAUGGGCGCAAGCCUGAUGCAGCCAUGCCGCGUGUAUGAAGAAGGCCUUCGGGUUGUAAAGUACUUUCAGCGGGGAGGAAGGGAGUAAAGUUAAUACCUUUGCUCAUUGACGUUACCCGCAGAAGAAGCACCGGCUAACUCCGUG
rnacentral:rRNA from 1 species